rnacentral:misc_RNA from 1 species
GCGCGCCUUUAAUAACUAUGCUAAAGCACAAAAAAAAGGAAACCAUCUAAUACCAUAGAGGUGAACAAGCAAGAGGGUGCUAGUUUCAGAACAAUACAAGUUGGCCUUACUUGACAUCCUAUCAUCUAAUUCUCCGACCACCAACUAUUCAUAAUUCCAUAUGUCCACAUCUAAGAUGGUCAAACUAUUCAAUCUCUUUUAACAAUUUAUGCUCAAGAAAAAAUGGAAUCAGCCCUGUCAGCAACACAUAUGAAACAUGUUCAAGUACAUUAAACUCAAAUAGCCACUAUCAGUUUAAGCCCAUCCUCAAUGAUCAGUGAUGAAUCAGUUCUAGAUUACAAAAUAGGGGAGAAACAAAUCAAAAGAAUUAAGUAGUAGAAAACCAUAGAAACUCAAAAACUAGCAAUAUAAAAGCAACAUUAUUUCACUUAAAAAGCAAAAAAUAAGCAGUCUUUCACUUGUUCUCAUAGUUUAGGAAAGAAAUUAGAAGGAAAAGAAAAUUAAUAAUAGCAAUAAAACAGCAUUAGAAAUUCAACGAAAAAGAAUAAAGAAUACCCUGGCAACAUUGACAAGGUGGGUAAAAUUGUCGACAAUGUUGGCAAUAUCUGUUUCCACUCUCUGCAUCAAUGACUUCUGCUUUUGCGCAGCAGCUGCAGUUGCAGCUGCAGUUGGUCCGCUUCCACCUCCUCCAGCACCCCCAGCACCUACUACUCCACCUUUAUUCAUUUCCCACUUGACAAAGGACACUGAACCACUGAGAAGCGAGAGUCGAGAGAGCACAGAUGUCCACGAGGCUGCGAAGUGUGAGACUCACCAACUCAGUGCCGAUACUCCAGAAAGAAAGGAUGGAAUGAUUGAAUGAGGGAUGCUUAUAUUAUAAACGAUUUCAAAGGCAAGAGAACUAGAGGAAGGCGAGAAGAUGACGCGAGAUUGCAGCAGAGAGCCAGUGACUAAGAGACAGAGAAGGGUAUCUUCCAGGGCUCGUUGGGCACUUGUCUGGGCCGUAGGCAAUUCAUUCGGUCCUAUUAAGCUUACAUUAUAAUGCACGAUCUUCAAAGGGAUAAGAGCGGCGAUGACGAAAGCAGGGACCGCAAGGUGAGGAGAUUAUAGCAGAAUUGCACGCUAACACAAAGGAGGAAGAAGAAGAAAUGAGAAAUAGGGAAGAGAUUAAGAGCAAAGGAAAACGAUGGCCAAUAGGGGGAAGGGAUGAUUGAAAUUAGGGAUUUGGGGUUGAUAGAGAAAUGCCAAAAAGGG